ACGGGUGAGUAACGCGUGGGUAACCUGCCUCACACUGGGGGAUAACCAGUUAGAAAUAGCUGCUAAUACCGCAUAAGCGCACGGUUCCGCAUGGAACAGUGUGAAAAACUCCGGUGGUGUGAGAUGGACCCGCGUCUGAUUAGCCAGUUGCGGGUAAGGCCCNCCAAAGCGACGAUCAGUAGCCGGCCUGAGAGGGUGAACGGCCACAUUGGGACUGAGACACGGCCCAAAACUCCUACGGGAGGCAGCAGUGGGGAGUAUUGCACAAUGGGGGAAACCCUGAUGCAGCGACGCCGCGUGAGUGAAGAAGUAUUUCGGUAUGUAAAGCUCUAUCAGCAGGGAAGAAAGUGACGGUACCUGAAUAAGAAGCCCCGGCUAACUACGUG
rnacentral:rRNA from 1 species